CACAUUCGACUCCAAAUUGGGCAUUGCCGGGAGGUGAGUUCGACCUAGAAUGGCAGUGUUGGGUAAAGUGUUGUCUUGUCUGCGCCUAUAUGUCGAGGAUAAAGCUGAAGAGGGCGAGGUAGCCCGACGCGAUGAUGAUAACGGCUCGAUAAUGAUGAUGAUGAACAUGAUAAUGACGGCGACGGGACGAAAGAGACUGACAGAUGCAGAAAACUGAUUCGAGUUUUUGCCGCUGUCGCGGCAAAGCAAGGUGGAAGGCGAUGGCGAACAGUUCGUCUAGAUAAUCUGUUCUUUCUAACAGUUCUACCUUCCAAGCAGGAACCAAUAAAAUUCAUAUUAUCAGGAUUUAUUAUAUGUUUAAUAUCUGCUCUGGAAUUCACAAAAUUCCCUAUUAGUUCUUACCUUGUUGUGCUAAUUACGGCCCGAUUUAUGGUCACUGCACCGUAGUUGCUUCAAUCAUAACGCCAAGCACCAAACCUAACCAAAUGGGCAACAGGAAUGUCUAUAUACAGACACCUUAGUACAAAUGACAUUUCGUUCUCGCGGAGAUAGCCUAUAUUAGAGAGAGGUGCUACGGUUCCCCCUUAAAUACCUUCCGUGAUGCGGGGUUGCAGUGUGGAUUGUUGACAUCUAUAUGAAAAAAAAAAAUACAUUGACGUCUAACUUGGUUAGCGCAGGUUACGCGCAUGCGUAUGGGUGCUACUUCUUUUUUGUGCACUUCCCGCAGAGUGUUUUAAAAAUGCUUGGAUGUAAGUGUGGCGUUUUUUCAAGGUUUAUUUUAUGUCCGUUUUUCGAUUCUUAUGAACUGUGAAGUGCCAUCAGCAAAGAUGGUAAGGAGCUGUGAGGCAAUGCACAGCCUUUAUUAUUUCAAGCAAUUUCGUAAUGUACUGCUCAUACUAUUCAUUUCCAACCCUUUUUUCUUCCUUUUCUGGAGUCUCCUGGGCAGGUCAACCCCUCGCCUUUCGCCGUAGUUGUUUGGCUCAUUCCCGGCGCUUGGCGACGACUUCGAGGUCCGUCGACUCACGUUCUGCCUGCCGCCCCUUACGUCACUGCUACGUCCUUUUCUCUCGGCGCUGUACCUCUUGAUCACGAGACCAACGCGGAACGCAGGGUGCAUGGCUGCGCGGCUGGGCCGCCAUCAUCAUCAUCUGGGCCUGGCUGCUUCGCUUGUGCCACGUGCAGCCAGCCUGGAGUCGGAGCGGGAUGAGCGACGACGAGGAAGCUGUUCAGUUGGCCUGGAGCUUCGGGCAGUAAAUGUUGUCUGUUGCAUGGC